UACUAGAGUAGCACUCGCAUAUCAAUAAGCGGAGGAAAAGAAACUAACAAGGAUUCCCUUAGUAACGGCGGGUGAAGCGGGAAGAGCUCAAAUUUGAAAUCUUCAAGGUUCUACCUUGACGAAUUGUAGUUUAUAGAAGUGUUUUCUGUUAGUAGAGUGGCAAAAGUUCUUUGGAAUAGGACAUCAUAGAGGGUGAGAAUCCCGUAUUUGGUCAUUCCUUCUAGCUUUGUGAUACACUUUCAAAGAGUCGGAUUGUUUGGGAAUGCAGUCCAAAAUGGGUGGUAAAUUUCAUCUAAAGCUAAAUAUUGGCGAGAGACCGAUAGCGAACAAGUACCGUGAGGGAAAGAUGAAAGGAACUUUGAAAAGAGAGUUAAACAGUACGUGAAAUUGUCAAAAGGGAAGCGUUUGACACCAGUGUUGUUUUUCCGAAAAUCAAUUACGAAUGUUUUGUUUUUGAGGAGUUAUGACUUCAUCGGCUUGCUCCUUUCUUUACGAAACUUUCUUAAUGCACUUUUCGGUUAACAAGUCAACAUCAAUUUCUUUUGUUGUAAAAGGGUAUGAGGAAGGUGGCUUUCUUUUCGGAGAAAGUGUUUAUAGCCUUGUGCCUCUGCAAUCGGAGAGAUUGAGGUCUGCAGCGUAGAUCCUUCGGGGUUAGAUACGUUUGUGCUAAGUUAUAGCUUUUCAUAGACAACUUGUUGACUAUGUUUAGUCUUGUAGCUUACUCGCUUACGCUAUUUUACCUACGCUUAGGAUGUUGAAGAUGUAGCACAUCAU
rnacentral:rRNA from 1 species